rnacentral:rRNA from 1 species
CUAGGGAUCUGCCUAAGUGAGGGGAAUAACUAUUGGAAACGAUAGCUAAUACCACAUAAUGUCACUUUAUUGACCAAAGUGGGGGAACUUUUAGUCCUUGCGCUCUUAGAUGAACCUAGAUAAGAUUAGCUAGUAGGUAAGGUAAUGGCUUACCUAGGCAACGAUCUUUAGCUGGUCUGAGAGGAUGGCCAGCCACACUGGAACUGAGAUACGGUCCAGACUCCUACGGGAGGCAGCAGUGGGGAAUCUUGCACAAUGGGGGCAACCCUGAUGCAGCUAUGCCGCGUGUGUGAAGAAGGCCUUAGGGUUGUAAAGCACUUUCAGCGAGGAAGAAGUUAAUAAGGUGAAUAACUUUAUUAAUUGACGUUACUUGCAAAAGAAGCACCGGCUAACUCCGUGCCAGCAGCCGCGGUAAUACGGAGGGUGCAAGCGUUAAUCGGAAUUACUGGGCGUAAAGAGUACGUAGGUGGUUUGUAAAGUCAGAUGUGAAAUCCCUAGGCUUAACCUAGGAACUGCAUAUGAAACUAGCAAGCUAGAGUUUCGUAGAGGGGAAAAGAAUUCCAGGUGUAGCGGUGAAAUGCGUAGAUAUCUGGAGGAAUAUCAGUGGCGAAGGCGUUUCCCUGGACGAAAACUGACGCUCAGGUACGAAAGCAUGGGGAGCAAACAGGAUUAGAUACCCUGGUAGUCCAUGCUGUAAACGAUGUCGAUUUGAAGGUUGGAUUGUUUUUUUAUUCUGGCUUUCGAAGCUAACGCGUUAAAUCGACCGCCUGGGGAGUACGGCCGCAAGGCUAAAACUCAAAUGAAUUGACGGGGGCCCGCACAAGCGGUGGAGCAUGUGGUUUAAUUCGAUGCAACGCGAAAAACCUUACCUACUCUUGACAUCCAGAGAACUUAACAGAGAUGUUUUGGUGCCUUCGGGAACUCUGAGACAGGUGCUGCAUGGCUGUCGUCAGCUCGUGUUGUGAAAUGUUGGGUUAAGUCCCGCAACGAGCGCAACCCUUGUCCUUUGUUGCCAGCGAUUCGGUCGGGAACUCAAAGGAGACUGCCAGUGAUAAACUGGAGGAAGGUGGGGAUGAGGUCAAGUCAUCAUGGCCCUUAUGAGUAGGGCUACACACGUGCUACAAUGGCGUGUACAAAGAGAAGCUAUCUUGCAAGAGUAAGCAAAUCUCAAAAAACACGUCUUAGUCCGGAUUGAAGUCUGCAACUCGACUUUAUGAAGUCGGAAUCGCUAGUAAUCGCGAAUCAGCAUGUCGCGGUGAAUACGUUCUCGGGCCUUGUACACACCGCCCGUCAUACCA